AGAAUAGCUCUUGGAAACGGGUGGUAAUGCUGGAUGCUCCAACUUGACGCAUGUCUUGUUGGGAAAGUGUUUAGUGGCAUGGGAUGGGGUCGCGUCCUAUCAGCUUGUAGGCGGGGUAAUGGCCCACCUAGGCUUCGACGGGUAGCCGGCCUGAGAGGGCGGACGGCCACAUUGGGACUGAGAUACGGCCCAGACUCCUACGGGAGGCAGCAGUGGGGAAUAUUGCGCAAUGGGGGAAACCCUGACGCAGCGACGCCGCGUGCGGGAUGAAGGCCUUCGGGUUGUAAACCGCUUUUGAUUGGGAGCAAGCCUUUUGGGUGAGUGUACCUUUCGAAUAAGCGCCGGCUAACUACGUGCCAGCAGCCGCGGUAAUACGUAGGGCGCAAGCGUUAUCCGGAAUUAUUGGGCGUAAAGAGCUUGUAGGCGGUUCGUCGCGUCUGGUGUGAAAGCCCAUCGCUUAACGGUGGGUUUGCGCCGGGUACGGGCGGGCUAGAGUGCAGUAGGGGAGACUGGAAUUCUCGGUGUAACGGUGGAAUGUGUAGAUAUCGGGAAGAACACCAAUGGCGAAGGCAGGUCUCUGGGCUGUUACUGACGCUGAGAAGCGAAAGCGUGGGGAGCGAACAGGAUUAGAUACCCUGGUAGUCCACGCCGUAAACGGUGGACGCUGGAUGUGGGGCCCAUUCCACGGGUUCUGUGUCGGAGCUAACGCGUUAAGCGUCCCGCCUGGGGAGUACGGCCGCAAGGCUAAAACUCAAAGAAAUUGACGGGGGCCCGCACAAGCGGCGGAGCAUGCGGAUUAAUUCGAUGCAACGCGAAGAACCUUACCUGGGCUUGACAUGUGCCUGACGACUGCAGAGAUGUGGUUUCCUUUCGGGGCAGGUUCACAGGUGGUGCAUGGUCGUCGUCAGCUCGUGUCGUGAGAUGUUGGGUUAAGUCCCGCAACGAGCGCAACCCUCGCCCUGUGUUGCCAGCGGGUUAUGCCGGGAACUCACGGGGGACCGCCGGGGUUAACUCGGAGGAAGGUGGGGAUGACGUCAGAUCAUCAUGCCCCUUACGUCCAGGGCUUCACGCAUGCUACAAUGGCCAGUACAACGGGUUGCUUCAUGGUGACAUGGUGCUAAUCCCUUAAAACUGGUCUC
rnacentral:rRNA from 1 species